rnacentral:rRNA from 1 species
UACGUAGGGUGCAGGCGUUAAUCGGAAUUACUGGGCGUAAAGCGUGCGCAGGCGGUUUCUUAAGUCAGAUGUGAAAGCCCCGGGCUUAACCUGGGAACUGCGCUUGUAACUGGCAAGCUAGAGUGUGGCAGAGGGGGGUGGAAUUCCACGUGUAGCAGUGAAAUGCGUAGAGAUGUGGAGGAACACCGAUGGCGAAGGCAGCCCCCUGGGCUAACACUGACGCUCAUGCACGAAAGCGUGGGGAGCAAACAGG